GCCUUUGACCCCUUCAGUCCCUGUUCCACAUGUUUAUAAAAAUCUCCUUCAGUGCUGUAAUCUCACACCUCACCCCGCCUCUCCAUUCCUACUUGCUAUUGUCUUAAUCACCUGUGCCUGGGCUGUGGCAUUUGGGGGACACCGAGUCUCCAUUUCUUCUUCUUCUUCUCAACCAUCCAAGUGCUCAAAAUGGAAACCCGGCCACAUCAGUCCCUUGUGGAAAGCUGCUUGGUGGCUCUCCAUUGCUUUACGAGAUGAAGCCGAGGCUCGCUGACGUGGCGCCCAAGUUCUCCAUGAUCUCCCUCUCCUGCCUGCUUUUUGCCUCGCUCUAACUUUUGGCUCCACCACCCAGCAGCUCCGUCUGCUUGCAGUUCCAUCUACCACCUGGGAUUCUGGGUGCCCCAGCUUUGGCCUACGCUGCUCUUUCUCCCCGGAACAGACUGCCCACGUCUCCCCCCGGGAUGACCCAUCCUUGGACCGCCGGCUCAGGCCAGAUCCACGGGGCUGCGCGGCCUCCUUUCUGCCCACGCCUCUCUCGGUGAUUCGACUGUGAGCUCUCUGCAGGGACAGUCUAGGUCCUAGUCAUCCGUGGGUGCCCAUAACUUGCCGCGUGCUGGUAGACAGCAGGUGCUAAAAGACAUUUUCAGAUUCAAGCAGAAGGAACAACAUUGACUAGGUGACUAGUUUGAAUUUCACUCCACCUCUUUAUGAAAGCCUGAGAUGAAAGAAAAUGGCCAAAAUGUCACCCACGACCAGAGGGAGGCAGGAAGGCAAAGGCUGUGGACAGUCGGCAGAUAUAAUCUCUUCCUAUAUGACUAAACUCAGUUCAGAAGAGCUGCAGCUGAGAGGGACAUACUCCAUGUCCCCUCUGCCGGGGGUUCUUGAUCAGAGGACAGUGAAGGACGAAGGAUAAAUGUGCCUGGGUGGAUGUGUUAAUCAAGAGUUGUCGGGACCCUGCCUCUAAAAGGAAGCGUUAACGUAGUGUUUUUGACCUCAAGACUUUUCUCAGAGUUGUUGUAGCCCAAGGGUUUGGCAAACAAAGGCCCACAGGCUAAAUCUGACCUGUUGCCUGCUUUUGUAAAUAAAGCUUUAUUGGAACACAGCUA